rnacentral:rRNA from 1 species
UAACUUAUCUAUUAUAUUUUAUGACCUUACUACUUGUGUAUCCCUGGGAAUUCUCUAGAUAAUACACGUGAAAAAUCCCCACUACUUCUGGGAGGGGUGUAUUUAAUAAAUAACCAAUGCCCUCUGGUCUCCUUGGUGAUGCUUGAUAACUUCUCCUUCCCCACUCGCUUGCGCCUGCGACGGUUAUUUCUCAUUUCUUCCCUAUCCCCUUUCACUGUUUGUGGAUUGAUCAAACACGAUUGUGGCUGCUAACGGAGGGUUAGGGCUCGACCCCGGAGAAGGAGCCUGAGAAACAGCUACUACAUCCAAGGAAGGCAGCAGGCGCGCAAAUUACCCAAUCCCGACACGGGGAGGUAGUGACAAUAAAUACUGAUACAGGGCUCUUUUGGGUCUUGUAAUUGGAAUGAGUACAAUUUAAAUCCCUUAACGAGGAACAAUUGGAGGGCAAGUCUGGUGCCAGCAGCCGCGGUAAUUCCAGCUCCAAUAGCGUAUAUUAAAGUUGUUGUGGUUAAAAAGCUCGUAGUUGAACCUUGGGCCUGGCUGGCCGGUCCGCCUCACCGCGUGUACUGGUACCGGCCGGGCCUUUCCCUCUGUGGAACCUCAUGCCCUUCACUGGUGUGUGACGGGGAAACAGGACUUUGUUACUUUGAAAAAAUUAGAGUGCUACCAGGUCAGGCCUAUGCUCGAAUACUAUUAGCAUGAGAAUAAUAAAAUAGGACGUGGGGUUCUAUUUUGUUGGUUUCUAGGACCGCCGUAAUGAUUAAUAGGGACAGUCGGGGGCAUCAGUAUUCAAUUGUCAGAGGUGAAAUUCUGGGAUUUAUGGAAGCCUAACUACUGCGAAACCAUUUCCCAAGGAUGUUUUCUUUAAUCAGGAACGAAAGUUAGGGGAUCGAAGACGAUCAGAUCCCGUUGUAGUUUUACCCAUAAACUAUCCCGACUAGGGAUGGGACUAUGUUCAUAUU